CUGACUGCUAUCGGAUUGAUACUAAGCCAUGCGAGUCAUUGUAGCAAUACAAGGCAGACGGCUCAGUAACGCGUAGUCAAUCUACCCUAUGGACGGGAAUAACCUCGAGAAAACUGAGAAUAAUGCCCGAUAGAACAUUAUGCCUGGAAUGGUUUAUGUUUCAAAUGAUUUAUCGCCAUAGGAUGGGACUGCGGCCUAUCAGUUUGUUGGUGAGGUAAUGGCCCACCAAGACUAUUACAGGUACGGGCUCUGAGAGGAGUAGCCCGGAGAUGGGUACUGAGACACGGACCCAGGCCCUAUGGGGCGCAGCAGGCGAGAAAACUUUGCAAUGUGCGAAAGCACGACAAGGUUAAUCCGAGUGGUUUCUGCUAAAGAAACCUUUUGUCAGUCCUAGAAACACUAACGAAUAAGGGGUGGGCAAGUUCUGGUGUCAGCCGCCGCGGUAAAACCAGCACCUCAAGUGGUCAGGAUGAUUAUUGGGCCUAAAGCAUCCGUAGCUCGUUUUGUAAGUUUUCGGUUAAAUCCAUGCGCUUAACGUAUGGGCUGCCGGGAAUACUGCAUAACUAGGAAGUGGGAGAGGUAGACGGUACUCGGGAGGAAGGGGUAAAAUCCUUUGAUCUCUUGAUGACCACCUGUGGCGAAGGCGGUCUACCAGAACACGUUCGACGGUGAGGGAUGAAAGCUGGGGGAGCAAACCGGAUUAGAUACCCGGGUAGUCCCAGCUGUAAACUAUGCAAACUCAGUGAUGCAUUGGCUUAUGGCCAAUGCGGUGCUGCAGGGAAGCCGUUAAGUUUGCCGCCUGGGAAGUACGUACGCAAGUAUGAAACUUAAAGGAAUUGGCGGGGGAGCACCACAAGGGGUGAAGCCUGCGGUUCAAUUGGAGUCAACGCC
rnacentral:rRNA from 1 species